rnacentral:rRNA from 1 species
GCGGCAGGCCUAACACAUGCAAGUCGAGCGAGAAGAGUUUUGAAGCUUGCUUUAGAACUCGGACAGCGGCGAAAGGGAGAGUAACGCGUAGUUAUGUGCCCUAGGGUCCGGAAUAGCCACGGGAAACUGUGGGUAAUGCCGGAUAACAUACCCGGAUCAAAGGUGUGAUUCCGCCCUAGGAGCAGACUGCGUCCUACUAGCUAGUUGGUGGGGUAAUGGCCCACCAAGGCAAUGAUGGGUAGCGGGUGUGAGAGCAUGACCCGUCUCACUGGGACUGAGACACUGCCCGGACACCUACGGGUGGCUGCAGUCGAGAAUCUUCGGCAAUGGGCGAAAGCCUGACCGAGCGAUGCCGCGUGCGGGAUGAAGGCCCUCGGGUUGUAAACCGCUGUCGUAGGGGAGGAAGGUUCCGUGAAGAGCGGAAUUUGACCUAUCCUAGGAGGAAGUACGGGCUAAGUUCGUGCCAGCAGCCGCCGUAA